AGCAAGUUUCAGGGAAGGUGAAAAUCCUUACUGGCGGUAACGGCACGACCGGCAUUCAUAACGGCCCCAUACCGAAGCCCGCGACCCGCGAAAGCGGCUGAUCCGGUGAGAAUCCGGGGCCAACGGUUACAGUCCGGAUGGAAGAAACGGAGC
rnacentral:ncRNA from 2 species